UGUCGUGUCGAAGGGUACGUGGCUAAGCGUCCUACCCCAUAGCAAUGUAGAUAUCUCUCACUGGCUCACGGAAGCCAUGGAGGUUCGCAAAGGUGCGAACGAGGCUGUCAUCCCAUACGUUUUACCGAUCCCCGAUUGCCUCAUGAUGUGUCCCAAGCCAGGAUUCGUGGAAUUUCCUUCUUCUAUGGUGCUACAGGAUGACCCAGUUCCUUUUGCUAAGAAGCGUGUUGGAGAAGGAGGCGACUCGCACACGGGGUAGAGUAGCAAUGGAGGCAUAAGAACCAGGGUGAAUAAGAGACACCGAAGGGCUAAGCGCCAGAUGCGCAGGUACCGUGGCGUCGAGAUCAACUCAACUGAUGAGGAUGGGGAUGAUGAUGACGUGAGCGUGGGCUCCAAGCUUUGGGCCAUUCCUGAUGCCUCCCUUGACGCGUUAACGGUUGGCUUUGCCAUGGCCUUUUCUAGCAACACAGUGAGUACUUUUCUUGCCGUGGAGGAGGCCGACUUCCCAGACCUCCCCACCAUUUUCCUAGGCCGAUGAACCCAGUGGUGCUUGCCCCUCCAU